GAUGAACGCUGGCGGCGUGCUUAACACAUGCAAGUCGAACGGUGAAGCAGGAGCUUGCUCUUGUGGAUCAGUGGCGAACGGGUGAGUAACACGUGAGCAACCUGCCCCUGACUCUGGGAUAAGCGCUGGAAACGGCGUCUAAUACUGGAUAUGUGAUGUGACCGCAUGGUCUGCAUCUGGAAAGAAUUUCGGUUGGGGAUGGGCUCGCGGCCUAUCAGCUUGUUGGUGAGGUAAUGGCUCACCAAGGCGUCGACGGGUAGCCGGCCUGGGAGGGUGACCGGCCACACUGCGACUGAGACACGACCCAGACUCCAACGGGAGGCAGCAGGGGGGAAUAUUGCACAAUGGGCGGAAGCCUGAUGCAGCAACGCCGCGUGAGGGAUGACGGCCUUCGGGUUGUAAACCUCUUUUAGCAGGGAAGAAGCGAAAGUGACGGUACCUGCAGAAAAAGCACCGGCUAACUACGUGCCAGCAGCCGCCGUAA
rnacentral:rRNA from 1 species